GAUGAACGCUGGCGGCGUGCCUAAUACAUGCAGGUCGAGCGAACGGACGAGAAGCUUGCUUCUCUGAUGUUAGCGGCGGACGGGUGAGUAACACGUGGAUAACCUACCUAUAAGACUGGGAUAACUUCGGGAAACCGGAGCUAAUACCGGAUGAUAUAUUGAACCGCAUGGUUCAAUAGUGAAAGACGGUCUUGCUGUCGCUUAUAGAUGGAUCCGCGCUGCAUUAGCUAGUUGGUAAGGUAACGGCUUACCAAGGCAACGAUGCAUAGCCGACCUGAGAGGGUGAUCGGCCACACUGGAACUGAGACACGGUCCAGACUCCUACGGGAGGCAGCAGUAGGGAAUCUUCCGCAAUGGGCGAAAGCCUGACGGAGCAACGCCGCGUGAGUGAUGAAGGUCUUCGGAUCGUAAAACUCUGUUAUUAGGGAAGAACAUAUGUGUAAGUAACUGUGCACGUCUUGACGGUACCUAAUCAGAAAGCCACGGCUAACUACGUG
rnacentral:rRNA from 1 species